GUUGUGUCCCUGUAGCACAAUGGAUAGUGUGUGCGUUGGACUUCUAAUCCAAAGGUCGUGUUUUCGAAUUUCACCUGCAAUA